rnacentral:rRNA from 1 species
GACGAACGCUGGCGGCGUGCUUAACACAUGCAAGUCGAACGGAAAGGCCUCUUUCGGGGGGUACUCGAGUUGCGAACGGGUGAGUAACACAUGAGUAACCUGCCCUUGACUUUGGGAUAACUUCAUGAAACUGGGGCUAAUACCGGAUAGGAGCUCCUGCUGCAUGGUGGGGGUUGGAAAGUUUCGGCGGUUGGGGAUGGACUCGCGGCUUAUCCGCUUGUUGGUGGGGUAGUGGCUUACCAAGGCGUUGACGGGUAGCCGGCCUGAGAGGGUGACCGGCCAUAUUGGGACUUAGAUACGGCCCAGACUCCUACGGGAGGCAGCAGUGGGGAAUAUUGCACAAUGGGUGGAAGCCUGAUGCAGCAACGCCGUGUGCGGGAUGACGGCCUUCGGGUUGUAAACCGCUUUCGCUCAUGACGAAGCUUUGUGUGACGGUAGUGGGUAAAGAAGCACCGGCUAACUACGUG